UGCCAGCCGCCGCGGUAAUACGGAGGAUCCAAGCGUUAUCCGGAAUUAUUGGGUUUAAAGGGUCCGUAGGUGGACAAUUAAGUCAGAGGUGAAAUCCUGCAGCUCAACUGUAGAAUUGCCUUUGAAACUGGUUGUCUUGAGUCAUUAUGAAGUGGUUAGAAUGUGUAGUGUAGCGGUGAAAUGCAUAGAUAUUACACAGAAUACCAAUUGCGAAGGCAGAUCACUAAUAAUGUACUGACACUGAUGGACGAAAGUGUGGGUAGCGAACAGGAUUAGAUA
rnacentral:rRNA from 1 species